GUUGCUCUAUCCAUCUCUCCCAUUCUCUCGCCCAUCUUACCCUCUCUCUCAGCUCACCUUCUCUCUUAGCAGAUCUCAACAUCGCUUUAUCUCCCAUCUCACCCUCUGUCUCUACAACCAUUGGCCUCACCCUCUCAGCUCAGAGUCACUCUCUACUAUCAGGAAGCCCAACAGAUUUCACUCUCUCUGUCUCUCUCCGAUCUCACCCUCUCUCUCUCUUUACAACCAUCAACCACUCUCUCUCUGCUCAGAGUCGCUCUCUCUACAACUAGGAGGCCCAACAGUUCUCACCCUUUCUCUCUCCGAUCACACACACUCUCUCUCUCUCUACAACCAUCAGCCUCGCCCUCUUAGCUCAGAGUUGCUCUCUCUACAACCAGGAAGCCGUGUCCUCCCUCUCUCCACAACCAGAUUGAAGGCCCUUACAAUUUCAAUUGAUUCUACAAGUUAUCGAGGAUAUCCACCUCGACAAUGCCUUAUGUGUGGUAUAGAUUGUGCUACGAGAGCAUCGUCAAGCUCAAGUAACCCGAACAGGAAAUAUUAUGAGUGUGCAAGAAGUAUUAUAAGUAUUUGCGACAACUUAUGAUUUUCUUAUGUAUAAUGAUUAUGUGUUUACUUGUACUAAUCUUUUCUAUUUUUGUAGUCCUUAUUCGAAACAUGUGAUUAGUUUUUGAAGUUGCCUUUAUACUAAUGUAAAUAUUCGAUAGAAGCGAUCAUUAUGAUCUUAGGCGUUCGCUUGAACCUGAUUAAUAUGAACCACUGAUUGACAAA